UACGUAGGGGGCAAGCGUUGUCCGGAUUUAUUGGGCGUAAAGAGCGUGUAGGCGGUUUGGUAGGUCCGCUGUGAAAACUCGAGGCUCAACCUCGAGACGUCGGUUGAAACCGUACGGCUAGAGUCCGGAAGAGGAGAGUGGAAUUCCCGGUGUAGCGGUGAAAUGCGCAGAUAUCGGGAAGAACACCCGUGGCGAAGGCGGCUCUCUGGGACGGUACUGACGCUGAGACGCGAAAGCGUGGGGAGCGAACAGG
rnacentral:rRNA from 1 species